CAUUUGUGCGGUAAUUCUUUAUACUAGAUCAGAUUAAUGGCCAAAUUCAUCUGAGAUCCUUGAAGUUUAAGAAGAACAUCCAUGGAAAACCCAAGAUAGGUGUUGAUCUUGAAGGGAAGCAAAGGAAAUUGAAGAACAAUAUCGUAGCCUUUGCUAGGAGGUACUUCCUCCACAUGAAGUGCAAAUUUCGAGUUACCCUGGAGUUCAGCAUCAGCAUUUUGUAAAAUUGUGGACUCCCAAAGAAUCUUAUGUGAAGGCGUUGGGAAGAGACUUCUCUGCACUACCCUUUAAAAGAUUUUCCACACGAUUCAGGAAAGCCGAGAAGAAGGCCCUUGUCCUUCCGGUGAAUCACAUAAUGAGGUUGUGGCAUGGAAUGUAGUGGCUUCAUGAGAGGUAAUUUAAUGUGAAUGGUGUUACUGAACAGUACACCUUUCUUGCCUUUUUCUUCAUGGCAACUUUCUCUCCUCUCUUCUUGAACUUUUUCUUUCUCUAUUGAUGAUGAACUUGUUUCGGCAAUCCAUAUGUCUAGGACUGGCAAGUUGAUUAGUUUUUAUAUACCAACUAGGAUACUCCUUUCUACAUUAGGUAGAGUCAGGAGAUUCAUAGUAAAAAGUGCAAAGCUUGUAUCCAUAUAUACUUUGUAAAAGAGAGAUCUCUUCAUGUGCAACCAAACACGGCCCAUGGCAUGCUAAUAUCAUGUCAUCGACCCAAUCUUAGAUCUUAUUGACUAUGCUUAUGAAAUGUCCGUUGAUUUGCUCAGAUAGAAUAUAUUUUGGCUUAAGAAUUAAUUGAUUUGCCGUAUUAAUUAAAGCCAUAUAUUUGCUA